rnacentral:rRNA from 1 species
UACGUAGGGGGGCAAGCGUUUGUCCGGAUUUAUUGGGCGUAAAGAGCGUGUAGGCGGUUAUACAGGUCCGCUGUGAAAACUGGAGGCUUAACCUCCAGACGUCGGUGGAAACCGUAUGACUAGAGUCCGGAAGAGGAGAGUGGAAUUCCUGGUGUAGCGGUGAAAUGCGCAGAUAUCAGGAAGAACACCCGUGGCGAAGGCGGCUCUCUGGGACGGUACUGACGCUGAGACGCGAAAGCCAGGGGAGCGAACGGG